rnacentral:lncRNA from 1 species
ACAGGCAUGACUACCUACCUGCCGUGGAGCUGAAGGAUGCAGCAACAAGGUACCAUAUUGGAACCAGAGACUGAACCUUCCAGCACCUUGCUUUUGAACUUCCCAGCCUCCAGAACUGAAUUUCCCGGCACAAAUUUGCUUGGUGCCAACCUUGUGAGACGGGACUUGCUCCUCCUUGCCUUCUGCCAUGAUUGUGAGGCCUUCCCAGCCACGUGGAACUCAAAUUGUGCUUGA